UACGAAGGGGGCUAGCGUUGCUCGGAAUCACUGGGCGUAAAGGGUGCGUAGGCGGGUCUUUAAGUCAGGGGUGAAAUCCUGGAGCUCAACUCCAGAACUGCCUUUGAUACUGAAGAUCUUGAGUUCGGGAGAGGUGAGUGGAACUGCGAGUGUAGAGGUGAAAUUCGUAGAUAUUAGGAAGAACACCAGUGGCGAAGGCGGCUCACUGGCCCGGUUCUGACGCUGAGGCGCGAAAGCGUGGGGAGCAAACGGG
rnacentral:rRNA from 1 species